UAGCCAGCCAAUUAUUCUGCUUAUCUGAAUGUGCUUCUGCAGAAAUUUAUAAACAGUUGGCAAUAGUGAUACCAUUUUAUGAGCCUUAAGAACAACUGAGGUCAUUAUUGUUCUUCCAAAUGCCUACAAUA